UACGUAGGGGGCAAGCGUUGUCCGGAUUUAUUGGGCGUAAAGAGCGUGUAGGCGGCCACACAGGUCUGCUGUGAAAACUCGAGGCUCAACCUCGAGACGCCGAUGGAAACCCCCUGGCUAGAGUCCGGAAGAGGAGAGUGGAAUUCCUGGUGUAGCGGUGAAAUGCGCAGAUAUCAGGAAGAACACCCGUGGCUAAGGCGGCUUUCUAGUACGGUACUGACGCUGAGACGCGAAAGCGUGGGGAGCGAACAGG
rnacentral:rRNA from 1 species